rnacentral:rRNA from 1 species
GACGAACGCUGGCGGCGUGCUUAACACAUGCAAGUCGAACGGAAAGGCCCUGCUUUUGUGGGGUGCGCGAGUGGCGAACGGGGGAGUAACACGUGAGUAACCUGUACCUGACUGAGGGAGAACUUCAGGAAAGUGGGGCUAAUACCGGAUAGGAGCUCUUGCUGCAUGGUGGGGGUGGGAAAGUUUCGGUGGUUGGGGAUGGACUAGCGGCCUAUCAGCUUGAUGGUGGGGUAGUGGGAUAGCAAGGCUAUGACGGGUAGCCGGCCUGAGAGGGUGACCGGCCACGUUGCGACUGAGAUACGGCCCAGACUCCAACGGGAGGCAACAGUGGGGAGUAGUGCACUGUGGGCGGAAGCCUGAUGCGACAACGCCGCGUGCGGGAUGACAUCCUUCGGGUUGUGUUCCACUUUCGCCUGUGACGGAGCGUUAGUGACGGUAACGGGUAAAGAAGCACCGGCUAACUACGUG